UCCCGUGGACCAAGCCAGCUGCUUUUUAAGGCAGUAUCCUUAUGGGAUGCAUGCACUAAGCCACGGCCUAUCUGCGAAUUAGGCUGAAACACCCCCAGGAAUAUUCACGUUUAUUAAAAAAAAAACACCACCAGACAACUUUACGGAGCAUUGAGCAGUCACCAGAAGGGCUCAGUGACUGCGUCCCCUUCUACUCGCGGGAUUGAAACCCCUCCAAAACGCAUCGAUCCCAUUCCGACCCUCCGAUGUCACAUCCAAGGUUGGCCACGGUCACGGCUGGGACCCCCCCCGGUGCUCGCAGGCCCUUGCCAGGACACGAGGCAGCCCCAUUAGAGAGGACCCCCAUCGAGGGACCCCCCAGUGCAGGUGCUGCGGAUCACGCCGAAGUCACAGCUCCUGGGACGGGAUGUGAGUGUGGAACGCCGCGGGCUCAGUAACAACUCCACGCAGCCCAACCCAGUUUAGGGGCCCCACGGCCGCCGCAGUAACAAAUUGUUCAAAAACACGUGCACAGCUCACCCGGAGAGGGACGAACUUCAUAUGUAACAUUUUCUGAUGAAUGGUGCGCCUGUAAUAAAGACGUGUAUCAUCCUGAGCCGGGAGUGCCCCUUAGGCGGAGUCACCCCCCCUGUAUCCGGGCAGAUAAUAAUAACACUUACAAUAAUUCUUAACAGUACACUGCUGUUCAGGAGGUUUAUUCCUAAUUUCGGUGACACAGGCAGUCCCCCUAAAGAGGAUCUCCCAUUGCAGCCCGUGCAUUGUGGGGAUUCCCUGUGAAACAGGAGUCCCCGUUAAAGGAAUUCCCCCUUUACAGAGGACUCUCAGCACAGAGGAGCCUCCCCCAGGCCGAGCCCACCGGGAUGUGGCCGGAGGCCCGGGUCUGGCCGGACGCAAGUCCUUGUGUCCACAAAAAAUCGCUUUCCCGUCUCGUAUGCAGGGACAGAGGGAAGCCGAGCGAUCCGCUGGCAGCCUGGGCUGGGCUGGGGAUGGCUUUGAGCCCCCUCAGAGUCACUCCCCGCCCCAAAGCAAAGCCCCUCCUCCUGGAUUUAAGCCCACCAGCCCCAAGCAUUAACGCACAGCGUUUAUCUAAGGAGUCGCGUCUGGAAAAGUCCAUACAAACAUUGCCGGACUAAUCAUUAACCCUCAUAAAAGGCACGUAACUAUGAUUAACCCAGUGACACAGAUCGCGGGCGAUUAAGUGCGUUGCCCAAGGCCGUGCAGUGAAGCAGUGGCAGAGGCUCAGCUCCCUCAGGCAGUGAGAAAUAAAGAUUUCAAGUGAAAAAUAAAGAAUGCCACUUUUUUAUUACUUUAUUGAACAGAAACUGAGAAGGCAGGGUUUGAAUUCUCCUCUCGCUGGCCUCACAAGCAUUAUUUUCCACUUACAGCUUCAAUUUAUAGCAGUUUUGUGGCAGCAGCAAAGAAAAUAAGGAGCUGGGAGGAGCUGGUGCUGCAUUCCCUUGGCUCCACUGCUUUGUCUGGAGUUCAUCGAUCAGGCUUUUUCCAUGCCUGGGUGUAUUUCCACAGCGUGGAGACGGGUGGAAAAUUACUGGUGAUGCUCCAGUGCCAGGUCCCUGCCCUGGCAGAGCUUAAAUAUGUUUCUCUGAAGAGAUCUGUCCAUCCCAGCCCACUGAAGUUUUUGGAGCCCAACAGCUGCCUGGGUUCUGCUCCUCAGAAGUACUAUGAGAAAGUACAAAUACAUCCCAUACAGAGCAGAUAAACCAGGAUAAAUGAUGUGCACCAACAUCCACAGCCCCAAAUCCCUGUGAUCCCACCCACGGGGAGGAAAGCAGCAGUGGCUGAGAGCUUGGGAUGACAGGGAGCACCUGGGUUUGGUGCAGUGACUCAGGAAGGGAUGAAGGGAUGGAGGGAUGGAGGGAUGGAGGGAUGGAGGGAUGGAGGGAUGGAGGGAUGGAGGGAUGGAUGUUUAGAGGAGCAGGGAGCAAGCCCUGAAGAUCUCCUUUCUGCUACCCAAGGCAUGAUUCACAGCCCAAGUGCUGCUCCUCCAAGGAAGCAGAGGGAAUGCCACAAUUUUCCUGUUACGGGAAAACCCCAAUUUCAACACACAAACCAAGGAGCUGAGGUUGGGGUGCUGCAUCCCUGGGACCUGCGAGCAUCCAUCCCAGCGUGGUUUCCCACCUCCAGGCUCAGGGAUGCUCAUCUAACCCAGUUCCUUUGAGCCAAGACUGGUGGGAGGGAUGGAGCGUGCCCUGCUCAUAUCCAGGUCAUUGGAAAAUCCCCAUGGCUGGGACAGAAGCAGCACGUGGACAUCACAUACCUCAGAU